UACGUAGGUGGCAAGCGUUGUCCGGAAUUAUUGGGCGUAAAGCGCGCGCAGGCGGUCCUUUAAGUCUGAUGUGAAAGCCUACGGCUCAACCGUGGAGGGUCAUUGGAAACUGGAGGACUUGAGUACAGAAGAGGAAAGCGGAAUUCCACGUGUAGCGGUGAAAUGCGUAGAGAUGUGGAGGAACACCAGUGGCGAAGGCGGCUUUCUGGUCUGUAACUGACGCUGAGGCGCGAAAGCGUGGGGAGCAAACAGG
rnacentral:rRNA from 1 species